UUUUAGUUGUAGAUAGACACAAUACCUUUAUUUAUUUAUUCAUUUUUAUGUGUUGCUGAGGAUUGAACCCAGUGCACCCUACUACUAAGCCAUAAUCCCAGCCCUGAUGUGCAGUUUUCAAUUCGGUGAAGUCUAAUUUAUUUUUUCUUUGUUGUUUGUACUUUAGUUGUCUUAUCUAAGAAAUCAUUGCCUCAUGCAAGGUCAUCAAGAUUUAUGACUAUUUUUUCUAUCAUCUUUAUAUUUUAGCUCUUACUUUUAGGACUGUGAUCCAUUUUAACUUUUUAAAGAAUUUCAUUCUUUUGAAUGUAGAUUCUAGUUGUUCUAGUAAUCAGUUGAAAAAAUUAUUCUUUCUCCAUUGAAUUGUCUGCAACCCUAUAAAAAAAUCAUUUGACCAUAAAUAUAUGGGUUUAUUUCUGAACUGUCAGUUCUGUUCCAUUGGUCAAAAUGACUGUUUUUAUGCCAGUGCCAAUUUUGAGAUCAGAAAGUAUUAGUUCUUCAAAUUUUUUGCUGUUUUGCAAGAUUGUUUUAAUGUUUCUGGCUAAGCCCACAUUUUCUCACACCUGCUUGGUACUGGGGAUUGAACCCAGGCACACUCUACCACUGAGCUACAUCCCCAGCCAUAUAUAUAUAAAAUCUUGCUAGAUGGCUCAUACUGACCUUGAACUUUCAAUCCUCCUGCUUCAGUCUCCUGGAGAGUAGCUAUGAUUACAGACCUGUGUCACCAUGCUCAGCUGUUAGCAGAUAGCCUGAUAGUGACUGAAUUUCUUAGAUCAAUUCAGUGGUAUUGUUUUCUUAGCAAUGACAGGU
rnacentral:lncRNA from 1 species